GAUGAAGAACGCAGCGAAAUGCGAUAAGUAAUGUGAAUUGCAGAAUUCCGUGAAUCAUCGAAUCUUUGAACGCACAUUGCGCCCCCUGGCAUUCCGGGGGGCAUGCCUGUCCGAGCGUCAUUUCUGCCCUCCAGCCCGGCUGGGUGUUGGGCGCUGUCCCCCCGGGGACACGCCCCAAAGGCAGUGGCGGCGCCACGUCGGGUCCUCGAGCGUAUGGGGCUUUGUCACCCGCUCGGGACGGACUCGUCGGCGCUGGUCUUCCUCCAGGCGACCCUUCGGGGCUCGUCUUCCUUCGGUUGACCUCGGAUCAGGUAGGGUUACCCGCUGAACUUAAGCAUAUCAAUAAGCGGAGGA
rnacentral:misc_RNA from 1 species